CGCCACUCACUCCUGAGCCUGACAGCCAAGCUGGAUGAGAAUGAAUGGGGCUCUGUGAGGCAUCUUGCAGCUCCCUCGACAAUGCUCUGCCCGUACACUCUGUUCUCGUGGUUUCUGUCUCCUCUUCUGUGUUUACAGGGUUGGGCAGCUGCUACAGCCCUUGCCUCUUCCCUGAGUGCCUCAGAGUGACAGAGAUGAAGAAGCCACUUGGCUCUAGGAAGUGUGGCCUGGCUUUGAUAUGGUUUGGCUUUGUGUCCCCACCUAAAUCUCAUCUGGAAUUGUAAUCCCCCAUGUGUAGACGGAGGGAGGUGAUUGGAUCAUGGAGGCAGUUUCCCCCAAGCUGUUCUCAUGAUAGUGAGUGAGUUCUCACGAGAUCUGAUGGUUUUAUAAGUGUAUGGAAAGCUCCUCCUUUACUCACUCUUCUCUCUCUUGCUGCCUUGUGAAGAAGGUGACUGCUUCCCCUUCUGCCAUGAUUAUGAGUUUCCUGAGGCCUCCCCAGCCAUGCGGAACUGCAGCUCACUAUGAGGCUAUCACAAAUCAAUGGAAGCACAUUUGGUGAAGAGUACAGGCCCAUCAGAGGAUACCACUGAAUCCAUGCUCCACAGCAGUUCCCAGCAAGCUGCACUCUUCGAAGGCGGGAUGCUGAAACCUCUGCCCCCACCCCCUACAUUAGCUUUAUAUCCAAAUGUGACUCGGAGGCUGGUGAGCUCAAGGUGAUCAAUGACAGCUCCAAUCAAAGCCACCCAGUAGACAGUGCACUCACCACUCCUUGAUAUAAAAGGUGUUUUAUUUCUCAUCCUUUUAUUUUUGUCACUGAAAGAAUGCUUCCCAUGUGUGGAUUAAUUAAAGUGUAAACAUUAAAUAUUGAUUGAUGCAUUAUCAGCAUGGAGCAGUGGCCUCCUGUCUGAUUGAUUCCUGCAGUGAUUUAUUGUCAUAUUUGGGGAGUCAUUUCAUUUGAUAACCAAGAGGGA
rnacentral:lncRNA from 1 species